UGAUAUCGAUUAGCCAAAAAAUCCUAGAUUUUUUUUGCAGAGUCAUAAUUAAUAAAUUGGAUGUGGAUAGACGUGACAGAGGUAUUGCGAAACCAGCUGAUGAUCUGAUGAUUUUUACUAUCCCAAUCCUCAAGAUGGUCAGCAAAUUUUGCAUCAGUUUCAUCGUUCUCUUUUGUCGGCGUAGUGAUAUCUCCAGUAACAAUACGCCAAAGCUUGCGACC
rnacentral:misc_RNA from 1 species